UACGGGGGGAGCAAACGUUGUUCGGAAUCACUGGGCGUAAAGGGCGUGUAGGCGGCUGAAUGAGUGGGAUGUUAAAUCCCCCGGCUCAACCGGGGAACUGCAUCUCAUACUGUUCAGCUUGGGUACAGCAGAGGAGACUGGAAUUCCCGGUGUAGCGGUGAAAUGCGUAGAGAUCGGGAGGAACAUCAGUUGCGAAGGCGGCUCUCUGGACCAGCACUGACACUGAGGCACGAAAGCGUGGGGAGCAAACAGG
rnacentral:rRNA from 1 species